rnacentral:rRNA from 1 species
AGUGAACGCUGGCGGUAGGCCUAACACAUGCAAGUCGAACGGCAGCACAGUAAGAGCUUGCUCUUACGGGUGGCGAGUGGCGGACGGGUGAGGAAUACAUCGGAAUCUACUUUUUCGUGGGGGAUAACGUAGGGAAACUUACGCUAAUACCGCAUACGACCUACGGGUGAAAGCAGGGGAUCUUCGGACCUUGCGCGAUUGAAUGAGCCGAUGUCGGAUUAGCUAGUUGGCGGGGUAAAGGCCCACCAAGGCGACGAUCCGUAGCUGGUCUGAGAGGAUGAUCAGCCACACUGGAACUGAGACAAGGUCAAGACUACUAAGGGAGGCAGCAGUGGGGAAUAUUGGACAAUGGGCGCAAGCCUGAUCCAGCCAGACCGCGUGGGUGAAGAAGGCCUUCGGGUUGUAAAGACCUUUUGUUGGGAAAGAAAAGCAGCAGGUUAAUACCCCGCUGUUCUGACGGUACCCAAAGAAUAAGCACCGGCUAACUUCGUG